CUUCUUAGUUCAGUUGGUUAGAGCAUGAGAUUCUUAAUCUCAGGGUUGCGGGUUUGAGUUCCACUUUGGGUGAAAGA